CGAUCACUCCAGCAGCAUAGAAAGCAGACUCAACCGGACUACAGUACCUCAAGAGAUGACAGAAGGAACAACUGUCCCCUUAAUUCAAUCCAAAAACAGGAGGAACAAAGAGUGAGCAAAACAGUUCACUGGGGUGCCAAAGGGUUUGGAGGCAGAAUCAAUAACACUAUCAAAGGGCAGAAUCUCUACCUUAAUGAAAGGACCGAAAAUACUGCAGGCUACAGGCACCGACCACAAGAGAUCUUUGUGUAUCAACAUGCCUCUGACUAAAUAUGAAAUCAAUUUAUUACAGCCUUUAUUUCUUUCUCAGGCACAGUCCUUUACGAAGCGAUACAUUUACCUGCUACAGUACCACUCUUUCCACCGCUUUCUCUCAAUUACUAGUUAGACAGGCUGUGGACACCUCCGAGUGACAGAAGCGACAUAAACAGAUUAAAUUGCAAAGGCGAUUAUAAUUUAUCAUUUCUUUAUUAAAAAGUAAUGCGAGGGAAUUAACUUUGA